GACUGUAUGUACCUUUUUCGAUGACGGCACGUUAUCUUUCGACGAUCCUGCCUCCCACUUAUAGGUGCAGCUCUUAGUUGGCUUCAAUCCGACUACUGACUACCCAUCGAAGAAAGGUCACAACACCAACUAAGCCUACAUUAUUGUAGACCAUGUCAACUCAGAUUGACGGGACUUGGCUUAGUCGGUAUUCAAUCGACUAAAUGCUGUGUUGCGGAUCAAGCCGACUUAGAUCGACGGAACUUAGUCUAGUCGGUAUUCGAUCGACUAAGACCGUCAAAAUCUGACCUAGUCAGUAAUUGACCGACUUGA
rnacentral:lncRNA from 1 species